GAUCAUGGGCCUCACCCCGUUGCGCAAUACCACAUUUUGCGGCAACAAACAGGCACUGCCGAUGCAUAUCGCAGUGAAUCACAUAAUUAAGCGUAUGCCCACUUCAAAUGUGUAUUUGUGUAGCUGGGAAUGACGACCUCCCAACAUCUUCAGAAGGCAGCCCAGGACACCGUGGCCAAAAAGGGGGUGUGACUUUCAUCACUGUGGGGGCAUGCCUAGCGCUCUGAGUUGCUGGCAUGCCCCCUCUCCCUCUCGUGAACAGACGCUGUGUGCAUAGCAUCUAGUCACUACUGCUCUGUGUAAUUCAUAAGCGUCCCAGUUAAAGGGAUAAUAUGGUUCACCUCACUGUCAUUGCCAAAAUACAAGAGGACCUCGUCAGGCACGUGCUCUGUAGUAAUCCCGUGAUAUAACCGUUAUAGCUGCCAAACUGCAAGAACUGAAGAUACAUUCUCGGGAGGACUAGGGAACCAAACCAUAGAGACUACUAACAAACAGAAAAACUCUUUCAAUCCAAACUUUAUUAACUUCUCUUGAAAUACAGACGCACAGUGCACAGCCGCCCAGCCAGAAGUAAAACGAAACCUCCACAAGCACUGUAGGACUAGCCAGAGCGUCUCCCUUCUUUCCUCUACUCGUAGCAGUCUCCUACCAUAGAGAGUGCAGCGCAGCCUCAGAGCAGCAGCAGCUUCAUAAGCACCGACUGUGUCUCUGGCUCUGCUCUUGGAGGAGGAGUCAGGAGCGCAGUCCUUACUAAUAAAGGCCAAUUUGACAUC